CUUGGUCAUUUAGAGGAAGUAAAAGUCGUAACAAGGUCUCCGUAGGUGAACCUGCGGAGGGAUCAUUACACAAAUAUGAAGGCGGGCUGGAACCUCUCGGGGUUACAGCCUUGCUGAAUUAUUCACCCUUGUCUUUUGCGUACUUCUUGUUUCCUUGGUGGGUUCGCCCACCACUAGGACAAACAUAAACCUUUUGUAAUUGCAAUCAGCGUCAGUAACAAAUUAAUAAUUACAACUUUCAACAACGGAUCUCUUGGUUCUGGCAUCGAUGAAGAACGCAGCGAAAUGCGAUAAGUAGUGUGAAUUGCAGAAUUCAGUGAAUCAUCGAAUCUUUGAACGCACAUUGCGCCCUUUGGUAUUCCAAAGGGCAUGCCUGUUCGAGCGUCAUUUGUACCCUCAAGCUUUGCUUGGUGUUGGGCGUCUUGUCUCUAGCUUUGCUGGAGACUCGCCUUAAAGUAAUUGGCAGCCGGCCUACUGGUUUCGGAGCGCAGCACAAGUCGCACUCUCUAUCAGCAAAGGUCUAGCAUCCAUUAAGCCUUUUUUUCAACUUUUGACCUCGGAUCAGGUAGGGAUACC
rnacentral:rRNA from 1 species